CUGCAUAUAGAUAAGUCUGAUACAUACUAAUUUACAUGAGCGGAAUCCAUAUCCGCUAGAAAGCUUCAGAAAGAGCCAAAGCCGCCGAACAAUGGGGUCAAACAUUAAUGUCAUGCCAUUUUAGGUGCUUUUCCCUAAAAUCUGCACUUGAAAUUGAAAUAUUCACUAGUGCUUGUUCUUUCCCCCUUCCUCCUGGCUUCGGUUAGUAUGUCAAAGCAGCCACUAUUAAUAUUGACGUCUCGGUAACCACCCGAUGAUCCGAUCUCGAUCCGCCCAAGUCCUUUUUCCUGUUGUCAACAUCUGUUUACGGUAUUGUGUCGGUGUGACCAGAGCGAGAGAGAGAGAGAGAGUUGUGUGUGCACGGACCACCUUAUCGCCAUCGUCAUCACACGCUGCCGUAGCUUUCACCCGGUCAAUUGAAUGCUCAUCCCGUUCAUGCAUCGUCCUCCUUCCAAACCCUCUGAACCAUUUUGUCACAUGCGUUGGCUGCAUGGCCUUGACCCAACCAACAUCCCCAUCCGGCCCGAGUUUGAUCCGCCAACUUCCUCGAAGCACCAUCUACGUCGCUUGCAUCGAGCCCCAACAUCAUGAUUUUUGAUCCGCCAACCUCCUCGAAGCACCAUCUACGUCGCUUGCAUCGAUCCCCAACGUUAUGACUUUUGAUCCGCCAACGAACAUGAUGCAGCCCUGACGAAGCUAUGCCUCAAGCCCCACACUCUCGAGCACAGGCGUACAGACACGUCAUUCCACUGUUUCAUAGGAACAAAAAAUGUUAGUCCAAAUGCUCCAGCAUCUAGCAUGCCUAACUUACAGCAAUGCUCUGAUUAAUUCACAUCUUCAUUACUAUUCCUUAAAAAAAAAAAACCACGCACGCGCGCGCGCGCCACACACACACACACACACUCACAAAGGAGGACUACCAAAAAAUAUAAAAGGAGAAUAGCAAACUUACCUGCCUCAAAAAUAACUCUGGUGGACAAAUUUAUAACAAGCAUAAAUUGU
rnacentral:lncRNA from 1 species